AUGUGUGACCAUAUCACAUCUGUGCUGGAUGGCAGCCCUGAGCAAAAUGACAUCCUUAGUUCUCAACCCUAUGGUGACAAGUGGGUAGAAAAGUUGGAAGGCAAUCUUCUGCUGGAGGAGUCGUUCCACCGCAGCGGACCAUACGACACCGAAGGAUCAGCCAUGACCUUUCUGAAGUUCUAUAGGGACACGCUCAUGUGUCGAAUGGAAAGUUUUAUGAAGCCUUUGAAGAGCUUUCCAGGGGUGAAACCGUUGGAGUACACAAAAGGCGAUUUUGAAAGUGUCUUGUUGGUUACCUAUCCGAUGUGCCUGCCGAGGAUGCAAGAAGAGCUUGAAAAGCAUAAGCAGUUGAGGGAUUUGAAUCUUCACAACCUGACCUUCAUUUGA
rnacentral:rRNA from 1 species